rnacentral:rRNA from 1 species
GAUGAACGCUGGCGGCGUGCCUAAUACAUGCAAGUCGAGCGAACAGACGAGGAGCUUGCUCCUCUGACGUUAGCGGCGGACGGGUGGGUAACACGUGGAUAACCUACCUAUAAGACUGGGAUAACUUCGGGAAACCGGAGCUAAUACCGGAUAAUAUAUUGAACCGCAUGGUUCAAUAGUGAAAGACGGUUUUGCUGUCACUUAUAGAUGGAUCCGCGCCGCAUUAGCUAGUUGGUAAGGUAACGGCUUACCAAGGCAACGAUGCGUAGCCGACCUGAGAGGGUGAUCGGCCACCCUGGAACUGAGACACGGUCCAGACUCCUACGGGAGGCAGCAGUAGGGAAUCUUCCGCAAUGGGCGAAAGCUUGACGGAGCAACGCCGCGUGAGUGAUGAAGGUCUUCGGAUCGUAAAACUCUGUUAUUAGGGAAGAACAAAUGUGUAAGUAACUAUGCACGUCUUGACGGUACCUAAUCAGAAAGCCACGGCUAACUACGUG